rnacentral:rRNA from 1 species
GAUGAACGCUGGCGGCGUGCCUAAUACAUGCAAGUCGAGCGAACGGACAAGAAGCUUGCUUCUCUGAUGUUAGCGGCGGACGGGUGAGUAACACGUGGAUAACCUACCUAUAAGACUGGGAUAACUUCGGGAAACCGGAGCUAAUACCGGCUAAUAUUUUGAACCGCAUGGUUCAAAAGUGAAAGACGGUCUUGCUGUCACUUAUAGAUGGAUCCGCGCUGCAUUAGCUAGUUGGUAAGGUAACGGCUUACCAAGGCAACGAUGCAUAGCCGACCUGAGAGGGUGAUCGGCCACACUGGAACUGAGACACGGUCCAGACUCCUACGGGAGGCAGCAGUAGGGAAUCUUCCGCAAUGGGCGAAAGCCUGACGGAGCAACGCCGCGUGAGUGAUGAAGGUCUUCGGAUCGUAAAACUCUGUUAUUAGGGAAGAACAUAUGUGUAAGUAACUGUGCACGUCUUGACGGUACCUAAUCAGAAAGCCACGGCUAACUACGUG